rnacentral:rRNA from 16 species
UCAGCGUGGCUACUGUGCCAGCUGGUGGAUGGCUCGGCUCGAGUGCCGACGAAGGACGUGCCAAGCUGCGAUAAGCCCUGGGGAGCCGCAUGGAGGUUAAGAACCAGGGAUUUCCGAAUAGGAAUCCUCUCGCAAUUGCCUUGCGCAAUGGGGAACGCCGACAACUGAAACAUCUCAGUAACGGCAGGAAGAGAAACCGAAUGGGAUGUCGUGAGUAACGGCGAGUGAAAGCGACACAGUCCAAACCGAAGCCCUUACGGGCAAUGUGGUGUUCGGGCUGACUCUCAUCGUCGGAUCGUCUGUGUAAAGUCUCCUGGAACGGAGCGCGAUACAGGGUGACAGCCCCGUAACACAGACCAGUACGGCGUGCGUCAGUUCCAGAGUAGCGGGGGUUGGAUAUCCCUCGUCAAUAUGGCCGGCAUCGACGGCCAAGACUAAACACUCCUCGAGACCGAUAGCGAACAAGUAGCGUGAGCGAACGCUGAAAAGCACCCUCAGAAGGGAGGUGCAAUAGGGCCUGAAAUCAGUUGGCGAUUGAGCGACGGGGCACGAAAGGCCCCGUGAAGAACGAAUCGGGUGCAAGCCCGUAGUAGAAUUCACGGGGAGCCGGUGUUCCGUCGUGCGUUUUGAAAAACGAACCAGGGAGUGUACCUGUUUGGCGAGUCUAACCCGAGAACCGGGGAAGGCGUAGGGAAACCGAUAUGGCCGCAGUCUUACGACGAGGGCCACCGUGUUCAAGCGCGGGGAGUCAAACGGGUACGACCCGAAACCGGACGAUCUAUGCGCAUGCAAGGUGAAGCGUGCCGAAAGGCACGUGGAGGCCUGUUAGGGUUGGUGUCUUACAAUACCCUCCCGUGAUUUGCGUAUAGGGGUGAAAGGCCCAUCGAGUCCGGAAACAGCUGGUUCCAGUCGAAACAUGUCGAAGCAUGACCUUUGUCGAGGUAGUUCGUGGGGUAGAGCGACCGAUUGGGGGACCGCACUCCGAGAGGAGUGCGCCCCCCUGUCAAACUCCGAACCUACGGACGCCGUUGACGCAAGGAAUCCGGUGUGCCGGGGUAAGCCUGUGCACCGUGAGGGAGACAACCCAGAGCUGGGUUAAGGUCCCCAAGUGUGAACUAAGUGCGAUUGAAGGUGGUCUCAAGCCCUAGACAGCCGGGAGGUGAGCUUAGAAGCAGCUACCCUCUAAGAAAAGCGUAACAGCUUACCGGCCGAGGUUUGAGGCGCCGAAAAUGAUCGGGGCUCAAGUUCACCACCGAGACCUAGCCGUACGCCUUACAGCGUAAUCGUGUAGACUGGCACUCCGAUCGGAUGGAAGUUCGGGCGAGAGCUCGCAUGGACCGAUCGGUGACGAAAAUCCUGGUCAUAGUAGCAGCGUUAGUCGGGUUAGAACCCCGACGGCCGAAUGAGUAAGGGUUCCUCGGCAAUGUUGAUCAGCCGAGGGUUAGUCGAUCCUAAGUCCCCCCGCAAUUCGAAGGGGACAAAUGGGAAACUGGUUAAUAUUCCAGUACCGUCGUGCAUUCAAAGGUGACGCUUUGGGGCCGACCGAGCCGGGCACUCGCCCGGUCAAACCGUCAAAGUCCGUGGAAGCCGUAAUGGCACGAAGCGGACGAACGGCGGGAUAGCGCAAGUCGGUUCAACCCAGAGCCCGUGAAAAGCCGAGCACGACGAUCGUACCGAGAUCCGACACAGGUACUCAUGGCGGCGAAAGCCAAGGCCUGUCGGGAUCAACCGACGUUAGGGAAUUCGGCAAAUUAGUCCCGUAAGUUCGCGAUAAGGGAUGCCUGCCCUGUGUAGGGGCAGGCCGCAGUGACUCGGACGCUCCGACUGUUUAGUAAAAACAUAGGUGAUCGCAAAUCCGAAAGGACUCGUACGAUCACUGAAUCCUGCCCAGUGCGGGUAUCUGAACACCUCGUACAAGAGGACGAAGGACCCGUUAACGGCGGGGGUAACUAUGACCCUCUUAAGGUAGCGUAGUACCUUGCCGCUUUAGUAGCGGCUUGCAUGAAUGGAUGAACGAGAGCGUCGCUGUCCCAACGUUGGGCCCGGUGAACUGUACGUUCCAGUGCGGAGUCUGGAGACCCCCAAGGGGAAGCGAAGACCCUAUAGAGCUUUACUGCAGGCUGUCGCUGAGACGUGGUCGCCAUUGUGCAGCAUAGGUAGGAGCCGUUACACAGGUACCCGCGCUAGCGGGCCACCGAGGCAUCAUUGAAAUACUACCCGAUGGUGACUGCGACUCUCACUCCUGGCGGAGGACACCGGUAGCCGGGCAGUUUGACUGGGGCGGUACGCGCUCGAAAAGAUAUCGAGCGCGCCCCAAGGUUUCCUCAUCCGGGUCGGACACCCGGAAAAGAGCGCAAGAGCAAAAGGAAGCCUGACAGUGUUCUUCAUAACACGGAACGCUGACGCGAAAGCGUGGUCUAGCGAACCAAUUAGCCUGCUUGAUGCGGGCAAUUGCUGACAGAAAAGCUACCUUAGGGAUAACAGAGUCGUCACCGGCAAGAGCACAUAUCGACCCGGUGGCUUGCUACCUCGAUGUCGGUUCCCUCCAUCCUGCCCGUGCAGAAUCGGGCAAGGGUGAGGUUGUUCGCCUAUUAAAGGAGGUCGUGAGCUGGGUUUAGACCGUCGUGAGACAGGUCGGCUGCUAUCUAUUGGGGGUGUUUUGGUACCUGACGGGAACGAUCGUAUAGUACGAGAGGAACUACGAUUGGUCACCACUGGUGUACCGGUUGUCCGAGAGGGCACGUGCCGGGCAGCUACGUGACACGGGGUAAGAGCUGAACGCAUCUAAGCUCGAAACCCACCUGGAAAAGAGGUACCGUUGAGGUCACUCGUAGAAGACGAGUUCGAUAGACUCGGGGUGUGCGCACCGAGGCAACGAGGUGUUAAGCCCGCGAGCACUAACAGACCGAAGCCACACAGU